rnacentral:misc_RNA from 1 species
GAUGAAGAACGCAGCGAAAUGCGAUAAGUAAUGUGAAUUGCAGAAUUCAGUGAAUCAUCGAAUCUUUGAACGCACAUUGCGCCCCUUGGUAUUCCGGGGGGCAUGCCUGUUCGAGCGUCAUUAUAACCCCUCAAGCUCAGCUUGGUGUUGGGGCCUGCCAACUGGCAGCCCUUAAAAUCAGUGGCGGCGCCAUCUGGCUCUAAGCGUAGUAAUUUCUCUCGCUAUAGGGUCCCGGUGGAUGCUGGCCAACAACCCCCAAUUUUCUAUGGUUGACCUCGGAUCAGGUAGGGAUACCCGCUGAACUUAAGCAUAUCAAUAAGCGAGGA